rnacentral:rRNA from 1 species
GACGAACGCUGGCGGCGUGCUUAACACAUGCAAGUCGAACGGAAAGGCCUUUUCGGCGGUACUCGAGUGGCGAACGGGUGAGUAACACGUGGGUGAUCUGCCCUGCACUCUGGGAUAAGCCUGGGAAACUGGGUCUAAUACCGGAUAGGACCGCACUUUAGUGUGUGUGGUGGAAAGUUUUUUCGGUGUAGGAUGAGCCCGCGGCCUAUCAGCUUGUUGGUGGGGUAAUGGCCUACCAAGGCGGCGACGGGUAGCCGGACUGAGAGGUUGGUCGGCCACAUUGGGACUGAGAUACGGCCCAGACUCCUACGGGAGGCAGCAGUGGGGAAUAUUGCACAAUGGGCGCAAGCCUGAUGCAGCGCCGCCGCGUGGGGGAUGACGGCCUUCGGGUUGUAAACUCCUUUCGCCAGGGACGAAGCGUUUUGUGACGGUACCCGGAGAAGAAGCACCGGCUAACUACGUG